UACGUAGGGUGCAAGCGUUGUCCGGAAUUAUUGGGCGUAAAGAGCUCGUAGGCGGUUUGUCGCGUCGGCUGUGAAAACCUAGGGCUUAACCCUGGGCCUGCAGCCGAUACGGGCAAGCUAGAGUUCGGUAGGGGAGACUGGAAUUCCUGGUGUAGCGGUGAAAUGCGCAGAUAUCAGGAGGAACACCGGUGGCGAAGGCGGGUCUCUGGGCCGAUACUGACGCUGAGGAGCGAAAGCGUGGGGAGCGAACAGG
rnacentral:rRNA from 1 species